rnacentral:lncRNA from 1 species
AUGUUUUGUACAGUAAUGGUGAUAGGAAUUUUUAAGCAUGGGAGCGCAAAACCCCACAUGAUUUCUAAGGAGAGUCCAACAAAAUUUGUGAGGUAUCUUAAAUGCAGAGUGCUCGGAGUUUUCUUUGUAGUCAUGCUGGCUUUGGAGCAACUUUUAAUUAAGAAAGCUUGUAUAACAUCUGAGUUCACCAAUUUGGCUCUGGAGCAUACAGUACUUCUAUCUUUAAUUGAAGCGUGGAAAUGUGAAGCUACUUCAGUGAUUUUAUACUGGAUGUUGACAAAAAAGGAUUGUUGAAGACACACAAGUUGACAAAUGACAUUCAAUUACCAAUGGAAUACCUUUGAAAAAUGCUAACGUGUUUGAAUUAAAAGAGAUUUCAUGUCUAUAUAAAACAAUAUUCUGUUACCAAGAAGUUUUUCCUUAAUUGUUUCAGAUAGUUUGGCAUUCUCUACUUUACCUGACCUCUCAUCUUUGCUCUCAAAACACAGUAUUUGAAGUGAUUUUAGACCUGAAAUCAGUGGUAGCCAUACAGACACAUGUUGAACUAGUAGAGAUUGUAUAAUAUGAAAGAUGAAUUAAUUUCUCUUCCUAGAGUUUAUGUCCUGGAAGGCAGACACAUUCAAGAGCCGAGUCGCUGACACACAGUGGUAUUGUUCUGUCUUAGGCUUUUUAAACAAUUCAAACUCCUAAAUUGCUACACCUUCCACUUUUAGUAGGUGCUUUGCUCUGUAAUUUGAACCUCAACAGGUUUCUAAAAAUGUGGACAUUAUUAUAUGAUUAGUAUACAGAGAACUUUGACUUUGAAAAUUCAGCUAGGAACUGGUAAGCAGACGUGGGUUAAAAUUAGCAAAGCUUUUAUGCAUGAGUAGCUUACAGCCCCACAGUAGUGGGAUUUUUCUGGAUUCUCAGAGGAGAUUUGUAAAGAGAAACGGAACAAGAUUUAAAAACUGGUUUUGUACUUUGGGUUUUCAGUCUCGUUUUCAUAAAGGAGUGGAUAAUGGUCUUGAAAUUGUAUAAUUAGCCUUUUCCAAAAGGAGGCAAAGACUUCCAAACGUCAUUGAAACAGUUUUUCAACUUAAUAUUUCAUUCCAAGUCAAAUGCAUAGUUUUAUUUGGCAUGUACAUAAUACCUGUAAAUGCAGCUGAUACUUUAAUAAUCUUAGCUUGAUAACAUUUUGAGUAGUUCUUCACUUAACUAAUAAUCUAAAUGUUUAUAUGUGAUCAUGGAACAUUCAUUUAACUAUGUAAAAUCAGAGAAGCACUUUGUUUUAAAGUUAAUAAAUUGAAAAUGGGUCAGAAAAUAGAGUGGCUU